AGUCAAUUUUUAUCUUGAUCGUGUGUUACAUGCCAGAUAACGCUGUAAAAUUAUUUCACAGAUAUUGCGCCCGGAUAAUAUAUUUUUUUCUAUAACGUACAAGAUGCCUCCGGAAAAUGAGCGGCAUGUUAUUCUUGGAAAAGAUUUUACAUCGAUUUUUGCUCGUUGAAUCUUUCAACGGUCAACAAGGAGCGGUUUACCGGCGGGAAAAAUAAUUUUGUUAAACCGUGCAAAUUACCAGAACACGGUAGCGCAAAUAAUGAAAUUUGCAAAGCAUCUCAAACAGAGAGCGAAAAGUGGAGGUCUCACAGUACAUAAAAAGCUGGCGACCUUGACACUUCGCACAGCGUGAAAAUCGCGAGCAACAACAACCUGAAUAAACUGGUACUGACCGAUGUGAAAUUAAUGCGAUAGAUUACUGAGAAUUUGCAUGUCUGGUGGUCAUCGUCAAAAGUUGAUUUUCUUUGUAGUCCGACAAACUUGGAAGAUAUGAAACGGCCUCUUGAAUUAAGCACGAUCAUACUUAAACGUGAUAAAUAUUAACUAUUUCUCUUCAAGAAAACGGUUCUAGCAACGUGUGAUUCUGUUGAACGAUAUAUUCGGGAAUUUGCGCAAGUGAUUAACGUAAGCGCGAGUUAAUAGCUUUGAUCACGAAUGUCGAAUCCAGGCACGAAUCUAGGAUAAUUCCAUAUUCGUAAUAUUUCGCUGCAGUUAAUGGUCUCCGAAAUAUUGUGUAACUUCACUUCCACCUAUCGACUUUAUUUUAUAAAAAAUAUA